GGUUAAGCGACUAAGCGUACACGGUGGAUGCCCUGGCAGUCAGAGGCGAUGAAGGACGUGCUAAUCUGCGAUAAGCGUCGGUAAGGUGAUAUGAACCGUUAUAACCGGCGAUUUCCGAAUGGGGAAACCCAGUGUGUUUCGACACACUAUCAUUAACUGAAUCCAUAGGUUAAUGAGGCGAACCGGGGGAACUGAAAC
rnacentral:rRNA from 1 species